rnacentral:rRNA from 1 species
AGUGAACGCUGGCGGUAGGCCUAACACAUGCAAGUCGAACGGCAGCACAGUAAGAGCUUGCUCUUACGGGUGGCGAGUGGCGGACGGGUGAGGACUACAUCGGAAUCUACUUUUUCGUGGGGGAUAACGUAGGGAAACUUACGCUAAUACCGCAUACGACCUACGGGUGACAGCAGGGGAUCUUCGGACCUUGCGCGAUUGAAUGAGCCGAUGUCGGAUUAGCUAGUUGGCGGGGUAAAGGCCCACCAAGACGACGAUCCGUAGCUGGUCUGAGAGGAUGAUCAGCCACACUGGAACUGAGGCACGGUCCAGACUCCUACGGGAGGCAGCAGUGGGGAAUAAUGGACAAUGGGCGCAGGCCUGAUCCAGCCAUACCGCGUGGGUGAAGAAGGCCUUCGGGUUGUAAAGCCCUUUUGUUGGGAAAGAAAAGCAGCAGGUUAAUACCCCGCUGUUCUGACGGUACCCAAAGAAUAAGCACCGGCUAACUUCGUG